rnacentral:rRNA from 1 species
UUGAUCCUGGCUCAGGAUGAACGCUGGCGGCGUGCUUAACACAUGCAAGUCGAACGAUGGAUCCCGGUGCUUGCACCGGGUGAUUAGUGGCGAACGGGUGAGUAACACGUGAGUAACCUGCCCCCGACUCUGGGAUAAGCCCGGGAAACUGGGUCUAAUACCGGAUACUCACUUCCUUCCGCAUGGAGGGAAGUGGAAAGAUUCAUCGGUGGGGGAUGGACUCGCGGCCUAUCAGUUUGUUGGUGGGGUAAUGGCCUACCAAGGCGACGACAGGUAGCCGGCCUGAGAGGGUGACCGGCCACACUGGGACUGAGACACGGCCCAGACUCCUACGGGAGGCAGCAGUGGGGAAUAUUGCACAAUGGGCGAAAGCCUGAUGCAGCGACGCCGCGUGAGGGAUGACGGCCUUCGGGUUGUAAACCUCUUUCAGUAGGGAAGAAGCGAAAGUGACGGUACCUGCAGAAGAAGCGCCGGCUAACUACGUGCCAGCAGCCGCGGUAAUACGUAGGGCGCAAGCGUUAUCCGGAAUUAUUGGGCGUAAAGAGCUCGUAGGCGGUUUGUCACGUCUGCCGUGAAAGUCCGGGGCUCAAACCCCGGAUCUGCGGUGGGUACGGGCAGACUAAGUGAUGUAGGGAGACUGGGAA